GACGAACGCUGGCGGCGUGCUUAACACAUGCAAGUCGAGCGGGAACCUCGGGAGGGGUAACCCUUCCGAGGGGAGAGCGGCGAACGGGUGAGUAACACGUGGGCAACCUGCCCCGGACACCGGGAUAACCCAGGGAAACCUGAGCUAAUACCGGAUACUCCGGCACGAUCGCAUGGUCGUUCCGGGAAAGCUCCGACGGUCCGGGAUGGGCCCGCGGCCUAUCAGCUUGUUGGUGAGGUAACGGCCCACCAAGGCGACGACGGGUAGCUGGUCUGAGAGGACGGCCAGCCACACUGGGACUGAGACACGGCCCAGACUCCUACGGGAGGCAGCAGUGGGGAAUCUUGCGCUAAUGCGCGAAAGCGUGACGCAGCGACGCCGCGUGGGGGAUGAAGGCCUUCGGUUGUAACCC
rnacentral:rRNA from 1 species